rnacentral:rRNA from 1 species
CCCUUAGAUGUUCUGGGCCGCACGCGUGCUACACUGAAUGGUUCAAUGGGUAAGGUAGUGCGAAAGCAUGACCUAAUCUCGAAAUCCGUUCGUGCUGGGGAUAGAAGCUUGCAAUUAUCCUUCUUGAACGAGGAAUACCUUGUAAGCGUGAGUCAUCAUCUCACGCUGAAUACGUCCCUGCCCUUUGUACACACCGCCCGUCGCUCCUACCGAUUGAGUGUUCCGGUGAGGCUUUGGGAGAAUGGCCUCAACAUGAGUUUAUCGUGUUUUGCCGUUUGAACUUAGUCAAACCUUAUCACUUAGAGGAAGGAGAAGUCGUAACA